AUUGAACGCUGGCGGCAUGCUUUACACAUGCAAGUCGAACGCGAAAGGGGGGCAACUCCUGAGUAGAGUGGCGCACGGGUGAGUAAUACAUCGGAACGUGUCCUGUAAUGGGGGAUAACGCAGCGAAAGCUGUGCUAAUACCGCAUACGUCCUACGGGAGAAAGUGGGGGACCGCAAGGCCUCACGUUAUAGGAGCGGCCGAUGUCGGAUUAGCUAGUUGGUGGGGUAAAGGCUCACCAAGGCUACGAUCCGUAGCUGGUCUGAGAGGAUGAUCAGCCACACUGGGACUGAGACACGGCCCAGACUCCUACGGGAGGCAGCAGUGGGGAAUUUUGGACAAUGGGCGCAAGCCUGAUCCAGCCAUGCCGCGUGAGUGAAGAAGGCCUCGGUUGUAAAGCUCUUCGGUCCGGGACGGAAAUACGCACGGGCGUAACACCGCGUGUGGAGUGACGGUACCGGAAC
rnacentral:rRNA from 1 species